UGGCGGAGGAGGUCAACAGAACGUUAUUGUUGAUAACAGCCGCGGAGGCGGAAGACAAUGGGGUGGUAGACAACAGUUCGGAGGCGGCCGACGACAGUUCGGGGGCGGACGACGAAAGUUCGGAGGCGGCCGAAGACAAUUCGGAGGCGGUCGACGACAAUUCGGAGGUCGUCGAAAUAGGUGGUAGACAAAAGUUUUGAUCCAACAGUCAUUUUUGUUGAUGAUUAAAACAGUCCUGGCGAUACAGCUGAAAACCAUCUACAAAUGUAUAUAUACCAUAUUGGUGAUAGAGACAGCAGAAUAACGUUUUUUUAAAUUGUAUAUGUUUAUAUAUCUUUAUUUUGAUACUAUGUAUUUUUCCAAUAAAGACUUUGAAUAAAAUCGA